rnacentral:rRNA from 1 species
GUCUAUGGCCAUACUACCCUGAACAAGCCCGAUAAUGUCCGAUCUUGGAAGCUAAGCAGGAUCGGGCCUGGUUAGUACUUGGAUGGGAGACCACUUAGGAAGACCAUAUUCUGUAGAUG